CCUACGGGAGGCAGCAGUGGGGAAUAUUGCACAAUGGGGGAAACCCUGAUGCAGCGACGCCGCGUGAGUGAAGAAGUAUUUCGGUAUGUAAAGCUCUAUCAGCAGGGAAGAAAAUGACGGUACCUGAUUAAGAAGCCCCGGCUAACUACGUGCCAGCAGCCGCGGUAAUACGUAGGGGGCAAGCGUUAUCCGGAUUUACUGGGUGUAAAGGGAGGGUAGACGGCAGCACAAGUCUGGAGUGAAAUGGCGGGGCCCAACCCCGGGACUGCAUUGGAAACUGUUGAACUGGAGUACAGGAGAGGUAAGCGGAAUUCCUAGUGUAGCGGUGAAAUGCGUAGAUAUUAGGAGGAACACCAGUGGCGAAGGCGGCUUACUGGACUGUAACUGACGUUGAGGCUCGAAAGCGUGGGGAGCAAACAGGAUUAGAUACCCCGGUAGUC
rnacentral:rRNA from 1 species